rnacentral:rRNA from 1 species
UAGGGAAUCUUCGGCAAUGGACGGAAGUCUGACCGAGCAACGCCGCGUGAGUGAAGAAGGUUUUCGGAUCGUAAAGCUCUGUUGUAAGAGAAGAACGAGUGUGAGAGUGGAAAGUUCACACUGUGACGGUAUCUUACCAGAAAGGGACGGCUAACUACGUGCCAGCAGCCGCGGUAAUACGUAGGUCCCGAGCGUUGUCCGGAUUUAUUGGGCGUAAAGCGAGCGCAGGCGGUUAGAUAAGUCUGAAGUUAAAGGCUGUGGCUUAACCAUAGUACGCUUUGGAAACUGUUUAACUUGAGUGCAAGAGGGGAGAGUGGAAUUCCAUGUGUAGCGGUGAAAUGUGUAGAUAUAUGGAGGAACACCGGUGGCGAAAGCGGCUCUCUGGCUUGUAACUGACGCUGAGGCUCGAAAGCGUGGGGAGCAAACAGGAUUAGAUACCCUGGUAGUCCACGCCGUAAACGAUGAGUGCUAGGUGUUAGACCCUUUCCGGGGUUUAGUGCCGUAGCUAACGCAUUAAGCACUCCGCCUGGGGAGUACGACCGCAAGGUUG